GACGAACGCUGGCGGCGUGCUUAACACAUGCAAGUCGAACGCUGAAGCUUGGUGCUUGCACUGGGUGGAUGAGUGGCGAACGGGUGAGUAAUACGUGAGUAACCUGCCCUUGACUCUGGGAUAAGCCUGGGAAACUGGGUCUAAUACUGGAUACGACAUGUCACCGCAUGGUGGUGUGUGGAAAGGGUUUUACUGGUUUUGGAUGGGCUCACGGCCUAUCAGCUUGUUGGUGGGGUAAUGGCUCACCAAGGCGACGACGGGUAGCCGGCCUGAGAGGGUGACCGGCCACACUGGGACUGAGACACGGCCCAGACUCCUACGGGAGGCAGCAGUGGGGAAUAUUGCACAAUGGGCGGAAGCCUGAUGCAGCGACGCCGCGUGAGGGAUGACGGCCUUCGGGUUGUAACCCUCUUUCAGCACGGAAGAAGCGAAAGUGACGGUACGUGCAGAAGAAGCGCCGGCUAACUACGUG
rnacentral:rRNA from 1 species